GCAUUUCAUUCGCAAUAAGCGGUUAGUCGAUAGUUUCAGUUCAUAAAGUUGUAGGCCCUGUCACGAAAGGCCGAAUAAAGUUAUCUAGGGCAAGCUUUUCGCGUUACUUAAGGUUAGUGUUCAACCACAGCAGUAGGACUAUAGAUUUGAAAGGGGACGUUAAAUAAAUACGAAGUCGCAGUCACAAAUGGGAAUCCAAUUACGACACAAUCUCGACUGUCAUCCAGUGUGAUAAACCCAGGCGUGCUGCGAGAACAAGAACACACUGGAGCUACAAAAUUUAACAACAGAUAUACGGAAUGUGAAAAUUAUGACACGUUGCUUGUUUCGUUAAAUUUAACAGAGUUUUAUCUAAGAAAACUGUCAAAACUUGUGCCAUCGCCGCGUAACCGACGUGCGCGAGUUUACCCGUGCAUUUGUUACGUGCGAACAAAGUGAAAACUUGGUACAGCUGCUGAAAACAAUUGCAACUCCGAAACUAAUAACCGAACCUCCUGGAAAUUUAUGGAACAAGUUCAAAUGCGCUCGCCCACCUUAAACUCAAUUUGAUCUUGGACGUCCUUAUUAUCGAGGUAA